rnacentral:rRNA from 1 species
CAGGCCUAACACAUGCAAGUCGAACGAAGGCUUCGGCCUUAGUGGCGCACGGGUGCGUAACGCGUGGGAAUCUGCCCCUUGGUUCGGAAUAACAGUUAGAAAUGACUGCUAAUACCGGAUAACGACGUAAGUCCAAAGAUUUAUCGCCGAGGGAUGAGCCCGCGUAGGAUUAGCUAGUUGGUGUGGUAAAGGCGCACCAAGGCGACGAUCCUUAGCUGGCCUGAGAGGAUGAUCAGCCACACUGGGACUGAGACACGGCCCAGACUCCUACGGGAGACAGCAGUGGGGAAUAUUGGACAAUGGGCGAAAGCCUGAUCCAGCAAUGCCGCGUGAGUGAUGAAGGCCUUAGGGUUGUAAAGCUCUUUUACCCGGGAUGAUAAUGAC